rnacentral:rRNA from 1 species
CCUACGGGAGGCAGCAGUAGGGAAUAUUGGACAAUGGGCGCAAGCCUGAUCCAGCCAUCCCGCGUGAAGGAUUAAGGCCCUCUGGGUUGUAAACUUCUUUUCUCUGGGAAUAAAAACCGGUAUUCAUACUGGCUUGAAGGUACCAGAGGAAUAAGCACCGGCUAACUCCGUGCCAGCAGCCGCGGUAAUACGGAGGGUGCAAGCGUUAUCCGGAUUCACUGGGUUUAAAGGGUGCGUAGGUGGCUUUGUAAGUCAGUGGUGAAAUGCCGCAGCUCAACUGCGGAACUGCCAUUGAUACUGCUUAGCUUGAAUCACGUCGAGGUGGAUGGAAUAAUACAUGUAGCGGUGAAAUGCUUAGAUAUGUAUUAGAACACCGAUUGCGAAGGCAGUUCACUAGGCGUGUAUUGACACUGAGGCACGAAAGCGUGGGGAUCAAACAGGAUUAGAUACCCUGGUAGUCCACGCCCUAAACGAUGUAAACUCGACAUUAGCGAUAUACUGUUAGUGUCCAAGCGAAAGCGUUAAGUUUACCACCUGGAAGUACGACCGCAAGGUUGAAACUCAAAGGAAUUGACGGNGNGAGAGAGCGAGACGACGACGAGGGAGGAGG